UACGUAGGGUGCAAGCGUUAAUCGGAAUUACUGGGCGUAAAGCGUGCGCAGGCGGUUCGGAAAGAAAGAUGUGAAAUCCCAGGGCUUAACCUUGGAACUGCAUUUUUAACUGCCGAACUAGAGUAUGUCAGAGGGGGGUAGAAUUCCACGUGUAGCAGUGAAAUGCGUAGAGAUGUGGAGGAAUACCGAUGGCGAAGGCAGCCCCCUGGGAUAAUACUGACGCUCAUGCACGAAAGCGUGGGGAGCAAACAGG
rnacentral:rRNA from 1 species